AUUCAAAUAGCUUAUUAUUAUUAGAGUAUGGCACUGAAGAUGCUAUGGAGAUUAUUUCAAUCUUUGAAUA
rnacentral:tRNA from 1 species